UGGACGAGUUUCUUCUACGUGGAAAUUGUAAAAUUUAGAGUCAAAUCUAAAGAAACUUUAAAAUGAUUCUGUACAAGUAUGUAUAGCCGAAGAAGAAUUAAAUGGCAGUUAACGAUGAAACAAACUGCUAGCAGAAGAAUAUGCAUUGUGCAAAUAUCUAGUGACGCAGCAACAUGACUAUAAACAAGGUGUCCGGUUUGCUAGUGUUCAUCGUUCUUUUUGGCAUGAGUAGGAGUCUCACAUUGGGUCAAUCAGUGGCUUAUUACUAUACAAACUAGUGGGGCUCAACUCAAUACUUCACUUGUGACCAUUUGUUUCAAUUGCUUACCAUUUGCUUUUUUUUUCUUUUCUUUCUAAAUCCUCAUAGUAGACUCUCUAGAUUGAAGGCUUCUGUCAACUAGCUAUAGUUGAGCUUCUGUUAACUCUUCUCUCGUUUUCCCUUUGUUAUAUAGUUGAGCUUCUGAUAGUGAUCUUCUCUCUCUCUCUCUCUCUGACUUUCUGUGAGAAAACAUUUGUACAAAGACAAUAUAUCCGAGAAAAGAAAGAGCAGCAGCUUCAAUGGAGGGGCUCCCCUCUGGUUAUCGUCCCAACUUUGGAAUUUGUCUCAUCAACCACGAUCAUUUGGUACCUUUUUUCUUUUCUUUUCUCCCGAUCAUUCAUUAAACAUUUAUUGAAUUAUUCCUUUCAUUUACUACUCUAUAAAUAAAGCUGCUACCUUUCUAACUUAAUUUUAUUGAUAGCUGAUUUGUUUGCUUUGGUUUGUGGUUCUGGGAUUUAUAGGUUUCUUAUUAGUUGGAAUUUCCAGUUAGUUAUCUUGAUUAAAAUUUGUCAAUUCCUUGCAUAUCUAUCAAAAAAUUCCAGAAAAUACACAUGAAUGUGAUGGUUCAAAUUCAAACCGCUAGAGAACAUGUUAGGAAAAUUGUAUUGCUGUUGUCUGAAGAUAAAUAAAUCAAACAACACUUUUUAACUUAAGAAAAAAACAAAUAAAGUGAUCCCGCAGUUGGCCUAGGGAAGAUCUUCACAGCCUUCUGCUGUCUAGCAGCACGUCUCCUUGUUUUCCGAGCUGGCUGGUUGAACCAUGUACUUACAUAGUUUUUCCUUGAUCAUCCCAAACAAUCCCAUUCUGAAUUCAGCCUAGCAAAACCAAUUCUGGGAGCUUCCAUUUCACUGUUGUAGUGGAGAAAUGAUGCUUUGCCAUAUUCAUGACAUCCUUAGAAGUUAUUCUUGGAAAUUGCUUAUGAGUAACUAAAAUGAGGUUUUCUUUGAUUGCUGGGAUAAUCUUGUUUAUGAUUGGUACAGCCAGAACAAAUAGAUGCUUUGCCAUAUAAGUCUGGAUAAUCUCCACAAGAAAAAAGGAAAAUUUAAAGGGGAAUUUCUUGUGCCAAAUCAUCUUGUUUACUAAAGAGGUAUUCUGAUAAGUUCUAAUGCAAUUCCAAACAGAUUUACAACUAAUUUUUUCUCCUUGUUUUCCUAGCUGGCUGAUUGAACCAAGUCCUUACAUAGUUUUGCCAAUGCUUCAUGAAGUGCCCAUUGGGUAUAAGAUUGUUGUGCUUCAUCUCUUACCUGGUUGGAGGCUUUAGGUGUAGAAAGUCUUUUGCAUUCUUACACGGAUUUAAAGACAACCAAUUACUUGUUGUCAUCUCUGACUUGUUUUUGAAAAACUUUGUGCUUUAAGAUUUUUACCGGACAUAAGAUUGUUUCAUCCUAGCAAAAAGAACUGAAGACUUAGAGAUCGACAUUCUAGUACAUUUAAAGUAAGGUGGUCUUACUUGUUUUUGAAAAACUUUGUGCUUUAAGAUUUUUACCGGAUAUAAGAUUGUUUCAUCCUAGCAAAAAGAACUGAAGAUUUAGAGAUCGAUUCUAGUACAUUUGUAAACUUUGUGCUUUAUUUAUUGUUUAUGGACCAUACCCAUUCUUAUAAUGAUAAACCAACUCUGGAAGGAUAAUGACUUUAUUUAUCCUCUUUUGUAGGUGGAGCAAUUGAAGAAAGGGAAGAUGGAGAUUGUGAAAAACUUGACCUUACCUAAGCACUUUGAAUUGUUAUCUAUGUACUAGGAAUCUUCUGUUAUCAAUAUUUGAACUCACUCUUGAAGUGUUGAUGUAAAACAUAUAUGAUUAGGUUAAAAUAUUUUGGUCUUAUGGAGUAAGUGUUGAGGUAAAACUUAUGUGAUUGGGUUAAAAUAUUUUAAUUUUAUGG
rnacentral:lncRNA from 1 species